UACGGGGGGAGCAAGCGUUGUUCGGAUUUACUGGGCGUAAAGGGCGCGUAGGCGGUCAGCACAAGUCAGUUGUGAAAACUCGAGGCUCAACCUCGAGAUGUCGAUGGAAACCGUCUGGCUAGAGUCCGGAAGAGGAGUGUGGAAUUCCUGGUGUAGCAGUGAAAUGCGCAGAUAUCAGGAAGAACACCUAUGGCGAAGGCAGCACUCUGGGACGGUACUGACGCUGAGACGCGAAAGCGUGGGGAGCGAACAGG
rnacentral:rRNA from 1 species